GACGAACGCUGGCGGCGUGCUUAAAACAUGCAAGUCGAACGGACUUCUCAUGAAGCUUGCGAUUGAGAAGUUAGUGGCGGACGGGUGAGUAACGCGUGGGCAACCUGCCCCUGAGCCCGGGAUAACAGUUCGAAAGGACUGCUAAGACCGGAUAUACUUGCGGGGAAGCAUUUCACUGCAAGGAAAGGGAACGCUCAGGGGAUGGGCCCGCGUCCCAUUAGCUAGUUGGUGAGGUAACGGCCCACCAAGGCGACGAUGGGUAGCCGGCCUGAGAGGGUGAACGGCCACACUGGGACUGAGACACGGCCCAGACUCCUACGGGAGGCAGCAGUUGGGAAUCUUCGGCAAUGGGCGCAAGCCUGACCCAGCAACGCCGCGUGAGGGAAGAAGGUUUUCGGAUUGUAAACCUCUGUUCUUGGUGACGAAAAGAUGACGGUAGCCAAGGAGAAAGCCCCGGCUAACUACGUG
rnacentral:rRNA from 1 species